rnacentral:rRNA from 1 species
GUGGCAGCCGCCGCGGUAAAACCAGCACCUCAAGUGGUCAGGAUGAUUAUUGGGCCUAAAGCAUCCGUAGCCGGCUCUGUUAGUUUUCGGUUAAAUCCAUAUGCUCAACAUAUGGGCCGCCGGGAAUACUACAAAGCUAGGGAGUGGGAGAGGUAGACGGUACUCCGUAGGAAGGGGUAAAAUCCUUUGAUCUAUGGAUGACCACCAGUGGCGAAGGCGGUCUACCAGAACACGUUCGACGGUGAGGGAUGAAAGCUGGGGGAGCAAACCGGAUUAGAUACCCGGGUAGUCCCAGCUGUAAACUAUGCAAACUCAGUGAUGCAUUGGCUUGUGGCCAGUGCAGUGCCGCAGAGAAGUCGUUAAGUUUGCCGCCUGGGAAGUACGUACGCAAGUAUGAAACUUAAAGGAAUUGGCGGGGGAGCACCACAAGGGGUGAAGCCUGCGGUUCAAUUGGAGUCAACGCCAGAAAUCUUACCCGGAGAGACAGCAGAAUGAAGGUCAAGCUGAAGACUUUACCAGACAAGCUGAGAAGUGGUGCAUGGCCGUCGCCAGCACGUGCCGUGAGGUGUCCUGUUAAGUCAGGUAACGAGCGAGAUCCUUGCCUCUAGUUGCCACCAUUACUCUCAGGAGUUGUGGGGCGAAUUAGCGGGACUGCCGUAGUUAAUACGGAGGAAGGAGAGGGCCACGGCAGGUCAGUAUGCCCUGAAACUCUGGGGCCACACGCGGGCUGCAAUGRUAGUGACAAUGUGUUCCGAAUCCGAAAGGAGGAGGUAAUCCAAAAACGCUACCACAGUUAUGACUGAGGGCUGCAACUCGCCCUCACGAAUAUGGAAUCCCUAGUAACUGCGUGUCAUUACCGCGCGGUGAAUACGUCCCUGCUCCUUGCACACACCGCCCGUC